UAAAGGAAUGCCUUGGGAGGAAAGCUCUUCCUCCUCCUGGGAAACCUUCCAGGAGAAGCUGGAUGAGCCAUGUUCGGGGACAUUGCUGGGGAAAUUUCUGGUCAGCGCCAUGUUGUACAAAAUGACCCUUGAGGUUCCUGGCGACUUGGAGAAUCUUUGUCGAUGACUUUUCCCUCGGACUCUAUGCAUGAGGCCGGGGUGAUUUCCUGUGACUUGGGGGUAUUCCCAGGCUACCUGCUGCUCAUAUUUGAACUUGUACCAGGGCAUAGUGCUGGUAUAUCCUGAGAUAAUACCAGGAGUCCUCCAAGAAAAAAAAAGGAAAAAAAAACAGGCAAAAUGUGACACAGAAUCUCCCAACGGGAAGGGACCUCAGACACCAGCUUGUGAAAGUCAAUCCUGAGCAAGGAUUCCUUUAGCAGCAUGCCUGAAGAAUUCUGAGAUGGCUCCAGGGACUUCACCGACCACCAAAGGGCCACACCAUGUGACUAAGUGGAAACAGGAUCAUUCUGCCACCAACAGCAGCUGGACCAAGCACAUGACCUUGAUGUGAACUGCUCCCCAGAAUUGACUGGCACAGGACAGGUGAGAGAUAAAGACAAGACAGAAAUGCCCAGAGAAGUUGGAGAAGACACCAUUGAGACAAUGGAAUGUCCACUAACGCUUCGAGACUUCAGAACUCUGAUCAAUGUUGGAACCACGUGAGAG